CUCAAAUAGCCUUGCCCAGAAAAAUGUGUCAACAAACACCCAGCCAAACUUCACGGAUACAACGCGAGGCAACUCGGCCGAGAAACCUGGGAUGCAUCUCCCGAGGGAGAUGCGCUUGAAUUGAGUUAAAAAUACAUUAAAUUCACAGUCACUCAAGAGCUAAAGGCCCAGAAAAUAUCUCUGGACUUCAGCUUUGAAAUCCUUCAAUUUCCUUUAAGGAGCCUACAAGAAAGACGCCCUGGAACCCUUCAGAAAUCUUAACUCCUGUCUCCAACCGUACGGGCACGAGAGUGCAGCUGCCAUGAGAGGCUGUAGCGUCAGAUCUCCUGGAGCUCAAGUUACACAUGGCUGUGAGCCACCCUAUAUGAGUGCUGAGAACAGAGCUGGAGUUCUCUGAAGGAGCA